ACACGGGGUGCGCCCGAGGCGCUGAGAUCACACCCGUGGAACCUGAUCUAGUUCGUACUAGCGAAGGGAUGUCC
rnacentral:ncRNA from 2 species